CCUACGGGGGGCAGCAGUGGGGAAUAUUGGACAAUGGGGGCAACCCUGAUCCAGCCAUGCCGCGUGUGUGAAGAAGGCCCUCGGGUUGUAAAGCACUUUCAGUGAGGAAGAACGCCUGGUGGUUAAUACCCAUCAGGAAAGACAUCACUCACAGAAGAAGCACCGGCUAACUCCGUGCCAGCAGCCGCGGUAAUACGGAGGGUGCGAGCGUUAAUCGGAAUUACUGGGCGUAAAGCGCGCGUAGGUGGCUUGAUAAGCCGGUUGUGAAAGCCCCGGGCUCAACCUGGGAACGGCAUCCGGAACUGUCAAGCUAGAGUGCAGGAGAGGAAGGUAGAAUUCCCGGUGUAGCGGUGAAAUGCGUAGAGAUCGGGAGGAAUACCAGUGGCGAAGGCAGCCUUCUGGACUGACACUGACACUGAGGUGCGAAAGCGUGGGUAGCAAACAGGAUUAGAUACCCCUGUAGUC
rnacentral:rRNA from 1 species